CGAUGUCGGCUCAUCACAUCCUGGGGCUGAAGUAGGUCCCAAGGGUAUGGCUGUUCGCCAUUUAAAGUGGUACGCGAGCUGGGUUUAGAACGUCGUGAGACAGUUCGGUCCCUAUCUGCCGUGGGCGCUGGAGAACUGAGGGGGGCUGCUCCUAGUACGAGAGGACCGGAGUGGACGCAUCACUGGUGUUCGGGUUGUCAUGCCAAUGGCACUGCCCGGUAGCUAAAUGCGGAAGAGAUAAGUGCUGAAAGCAUCUAAGCACGAAACUUGCCCCGAGAUGAGUUCUCCCUGACCCUUUAAGGGUCCUGAAGGAACGUUGAAGACGACGACGUUGAUAGGCCGGGUGUGUAAGCGCAGCGAUGCGUUGAGCUAACCGGUACUAAUGAACCGUGAGGCUUAACCUUACAACGCCGAAG
rnacentral:rRNA from 1 species